rnacentral:rRNA from 1 species
CCUACGGGAGGCAGCAGUGGGGAAUAUUGCACAAUGGGCGCAAGCCUGAUGCAGCCAUGCCGCGUGUAUGAAGAAGGCCUUCCGGUUGUAAAGUACUUUCAGCGGGGAGGAAGGCGACAAGGUUAAUAACCUUGUCGAUUGACGUUACCCGCAGAAGAAGCACCGGCUAACUCCGUGCCAGCAGCCGCGGUAAU